AGAAUGAAGGAGAGAAAAAUUGACAGGCGGUUAUUGUUAAGAAGGAACUGCAGUCCCACUAAACACCACAAGAAUCCAGCCAGGCAAAUAAACCGGGGGAAAUACUCGCUCUCCACAGGACAAAGGGUGAUAUCCUUAACAGGAAAAGAGCUCCUGCCAAAAGCUGUGGCUAGAAGCUGAUUCCUGAGCGCUCUCAGCAGCCCCUGGAAGAAGACAGAAGAGAACGACUGUGAAGGAGAGGAGACUGGAAUUCACAUACCACCGGGCAGAGCAGUGAAAAGGCACAGGCCUUGUACCCAGACUCACUGGGGUUCUGACACCAGCUCUUCUGCUCUCACUGGGCUUCCUGGGCUAAUUACUCCGCUUACCAGCCUCAGCCUUCUUAUAUACCAAUCAGAAAGAAUACUCUUUAUGUUAUUAGAUGAUUGGAAGGAUUAACUGAGACCAAAAAAUGGCACCCAUCAAGCCUUCAGCAACUGGUGACUGUUACACCUAACGUGCGCACGCGGGUGCUAGGUAGCCCACGGCCUAUGGGAGAGCGGCCAAGACGCUGCAAAUAUUUGUGAGCACGUACAAUAUUUCUGCUCCUUCUAUUCAGGAGAGGAUUCAAGGUCUCAGAGAGGCGGCCUUACCUCUUCCAUUUCAACACCCUGUGUGACUCUCAUAGAGUUUACAGUCCUGGUGGGAAAUUCAGUUAUUAUCCAGUGAGCUGUCACCCCAUACAAGGAGUACAAAGAGGUUACCUCUUCACCAUUGAUGCUGAGUUGAGCUUGGCCCUGUAUUGUUUUGGCCAAAUGGCAUGUAGGCAGUGUCUGAGUUCUGAAUCCAGGCCUGAAGAGUCAUUGCACGCUUCUGCUCAUCAUUCUGGGACUUUCCUGAUCCUGACAUGAGUCACUGUCUCCCGGCCCGGACUUCUGACUACAACCCAUGAAGGAAAUCUGCAGUCUGAAACAGGGACACCAUAACCAAUCUGCAAACCUAUGAGCAAAAAUAAAUGCCCAGUGCCAUAUGUCA
rnacentral:lncRNA from 1 species